UAGGCUUAGAUGGAAAAAGAUGAAAAGCUGUGGCCACCCCUAAUCGGGACCAGCCGUAAGGAAAAGAAGAAGACGGAUUACUCAGAAACCGUUUUAAUAUCAAAUACAAUGACCAGUUUGCAUUUCACUUUGCUUAAAAAGUUUCUGUUUAUGGUUUAAGGUACAACAUUGUCAUUUUUGGAGGUCCUUAUGGAUACUCAAGAAAGAAUAUGCUUUCUGGAGAAGAACUAACAAGUGGCUCUCUCCUUCUCAUCACUUCUGCUUUCCCGGUGAGGGGUCCAAAAGGAGAGGUAGGAGAGGUCAGUUCAAAGCAGCAAAAAAUAUUCAACUUUGAGACGCUGGCCUCAAAACUUGAGGCCCGUAACAUCUACAUCUACAUCUACAUCAAAAGCUGUAACAAGACCAGA